rnacentral:misc_RNA from 1 species
CGGAAGUAAAAGUCGUAACAAGGUUUCCGUAGGUGAACCUGCGGAAGGAUCAUUAAAAAAUAUCACAUUUGUAUGUGAUUUAAUAAUCAUCCUACCCUUUGUGAAUUUGUUUUUGUUUUGAAAUUUAUGUUGUCUAUCCCUAGAUUUGGAAAAAGUGUUUUGUAAAAAAGACUUUUUCAUUUUAGGGAAUAGGCUUUCAUAGACAUUUUUUAAAUUAAACUUUUUGUAUUCAUUGUCUAAAAUUUAUUUUUAAAUAAUUUUAAAAACAACUUUUGACAAUGGAUCUCUUGGUUCUCGCAACGAUGAAGAACGCAGCAAAAUGCGAUAAGUAAUGUGAAUUGCAGAAUACGUGAAUCAUCAAAUUUUCGAACGCAUAUUGCACUUUUUUAGUUUACUAAAAAAGUAUGUCUGUUUGAGUAUCAGUAAAAUAUUCUCAUAAAAACAUUUUUAGUUUUUAUGGUUAUGAGUGUUUUACAACGAUAACAAGUUGUUUCACUUAAAUUGAUUUUUUUAAAAAAGCCAAUUUGGUUUUAUUUAUUAAAAUUGGAUAAAAUCUUCCCGUAAAAGGAAUAAACUUUUCAGUUUUAAAAAUAAAAUCCUAAAUUGACCUUGAAAAAAGGAAAUUUAAUUUAUAAACUAACUUGAUCUCAAAUCAGAUAAGAGUACCCGCUGAACUUAAGCAUAUCAAUAAGCGGAGGAAAAGAAACUAACAAGGAUUCCCUUAGUAACGGCGAGUGAAGCGGGAAGAGCUCAAAUUUGAAAUCUUCAAGGUUCUACCUUGACGAAUUGUAGUUUAAAGAAGUGUUUUCUGUUAGUGGAGUGGCAAAAGUUCUUUGGAAUAGGACAUCAUAGAGGGUGAGAAUCCCGUAUUUGGUCAUUCCUUCUAGCUUUGUGAUACACUUUCAAAGAGUCGGAUUGUUUGGGAAUGCAGUCCAAAAUGGGUGGUAAAUUUCAUCUAAAGCUAAAUAUUGGCGAGAGACCGAUAGCGAACAAGUACCGUGAGGGAAAGAUGAAAAGAACUUUGAAAAGAGAGUUAAACAGUACGUGAAAUUGUCAAAAGGGAAGCGUUUGACACCAGUGUUGUUUUUCCGAAAAUCAAUUAUAAAUGUUUUGUUUCUGAGGAGUGAUGACUUCAUCGGCUUCCUUCUCUCUUCACGAAACUUUUGUAAUGCACUUUUCGGUUAACAAGUCAACAUCAAUUUCUUUUGUUGUAAAAGAGUAUUCGGAAGGUGGCUUUCUUUUCGGAGAAAGUGUUUAUAGCCCUAUACUUCUACAAUCGGAGAGAUUGAGGUCUGCAGCGUAGAUCCUUCGGGGUUAGAUACACUUGUGCUAAGUUAUAGCUUUUCAUAGACAACUUGUUGACUAUGUUAGUCUUGUAGCUUACUCGCUUGUGCUAUUUUACCUACGCUUAG